GAUGGAUUCCAUGCGAUUCUCCCAUCCGCUGGCGAGUCACGACAACGGACGCUGCUCCACCCCUUAUAACAGAUUCCACAUGGCGAGCCACGGUGAUGGCCACGCGUCUACUCCACGAUCCUUUGCAAUCAAUUCCCCUGACCAUGGGCGGCCCACUACCAGACGGUUACAAACAUCGCCAUCAAUCCGUUGCCUCCUCCGCCUAUAAAAGGGAGACUCAGAUACGUUAUUCU
rnacentral:lncRNA from 1 species